GUGACUGUUAUUUGCUCCCUGUUUUCC
rnacentral:piRNA from 1 species